GCUUAACACAUGCAAGUCGAACGGGCUCUUCGGAGCUAGUGGCGGACGGGUGAGUAACGCGUGAGAAUCUGCCUACAGGACGGGGACAACAGUUGGAAACGACUGCUAAUACCCGAUGUGCCGAGAGGUGAAACAUUUAUGGCCUGUACAUGAGCUCGCGUCUGAUUAGCUAGUUGGUGGGGUAAGGGCCUACCAAGGCGACGAUCAGUAGCUGGUCUGAGAGGAUGAUCAGCCACACUGGGACUGAGACACGGCCCAGACUCCUACGGGAGGCAGCAGUGGGGAAUUUUCCGCAAUGGGCGCAAGCCUGACGGAGCAACGCCGCGUGGGGGAGGAAGGUUUUUGGACUGUAAACCCCUUUUCUCAGGGAAGAAGAAAGUGACGGUACCUGAGGAAUAAGCCUCGGCUAAUUCCGUGCCAGCAGCCGCGGUAAUACGGGAGAGGCAAGCGUUAUCCGGAAUUAUUGGGCGUAAAGCGUCCGCAGGCGGUUAAUCAAGUCUGUUGUCAAAGCGUGGGGCUCAACCUCAUACAGGCAAUGGAAACUGAUUGACUAGAGUAUGGUAGGGGUAGCGGGAAUUCCAGGUGUAGCGGUGAAAUGCGUAGAUAUCUGGAAGAACACCAGCGGCGAAAGCGCGCUACUGGGCCAUAACUGACGCUCAUGGACGAAAGCUAGGGGAGCGAAAGGGAUUAGAUACCCCUGUAGUCCUAGCCGUAAACGAUGAACACUAGGUGUUGCGUGAAUCGACCCGCGCAGUGCCGUAGCCAACGCGUUAAGUGUUCCGCCUGGGGAGUACGCACGCAAGUGUGAAACUCAAAGGAAUUGACGGGGGCCCGCACAAGCGGUGGAGUAUGUGGUUUAAUUCGAUGCAACGCGAAGAACCUUACCAGGGUUUGACAUCCCCCGAAUCUCUUGGAAACGAGAGAGUGCCUUCGGGAGCGGGGAGACAGGUGGUGCAUGGCUGUCGUCAGCUCGUGUCGUGAGAUGUUGGGUUAAGUCCCGCAACGAGCGCAACCCACGUUUUUAGUUGCCAUCAUUCAGUUGGGCACUCUAGAGAAACUGCCGGUGACAAACCGGAGGAAGGUGUGGACGACGUCAAGUCAUCAUGCCCCUUACAUCCUGGGCUACACACGUACUACAAUGCUCCGGACAGCGAGACGCGAAGCCGCGAGGUGAAGCAAAUCUCCCAAACCGGGGCUCAGUUCAGAUUGCAGGCUGCAACUCGCCUGCAUGAAGGCGGAAUCGCUAGUAAUCGCAGGUCAGCAUACUGCGGUGAAUACGUUCCCGGGCCUUGUACACACCGCCCGUCACACCAUGGAAGUUGGCCAUGCCCGAAGUCGUUACCCUAACCGUUCGCGGA
rnacentral:rRNA from 2 species